rnacentral:pre_miRNA from 1 species
UUAGGUUUUCUUCAUUUUCUUCUGAAAUUUUUUUGAGAUUCUUGUUGUUGAAGGUUGACGGAGAUAAUACGAAGAAGAAAAUGAAAAA